CCCCUAGAUGUUCUGGGCCGCACGCGCGCUACACUGAACAGUUCAACAAGUCUUAACCUUGGCCGAUAGGUCUGGGUAAUCUUUGAACGGUGUUCGUGAUUGGGAUAGACCUUUGCAAUUAUGGGUCUUCAACGAGGAAUUCCUAGUAAACGCAAGUCAUCAGCUUGCAUUGAUUACGUCCCUGCCCUUUGUACACACCGCCCGUCGCACCUACCGAUUGAAUGGUCCGGUGAAAUCUCGGGACGGCGGCUUGGUCGCUUGCGUCCGACUGCUGAAACUUGAUUAAACCAUAUCAUUUAGAGGAAGGUGAAGUCGUAACA
rnacentral:rRNA from 1 species